rnacentral:rRNA from 1 species
AUUGAACGCUGGCGGCAUGCUUUAUACAUGCAAGUCGAACGGCAGCGCGGGCUUCGGCCUGGCGGCGAGUGGCGAACGGGUGAGUAAUGCAUCGGAACGUGCCCAGUAGUGGGGGAUAGCCCGGCGAAAGCCGGAUUAAUACCGCAUACGACCUGAGGGUGAAAGCGGGGGACCGAAAGGCCUCGCGCUAUUGGAGCGGCCGAUGUCGGAUUAGCUAGUUGGUGGGGUAAAGGCUUACCAAGGCGACGAUCCGUAGCUGGUCUGAGAGGACGACCAGCCACACUGGGACUGAGACACGGCCCAGACUCCUACGGGAGGCAGCAGUGGGGAAUUUUGGACAAUGGGGGCAACCCUGAUCCAGCCAUGCCGCGUGCGGGAAGAAGGCCUUCGGGUUGUAAACCGCUUUUGUUCGGGAAGAAAUCCUCUGGGCUAAUACCCCGGGGGGAUGACGGUACCGGAAGAAUAAGCACCGGCUAACUACGUG